GUGUGUGUGUGUGUUUUUUUAUAUCACCAUUAAUAAUCAACCUGCUGGAAGAGUUGUUUUUGAAUUAUUUUCUGAUGUGUGUCCCAAAACAGCAAGGACUUUCAUUGUCUUUGUGGGUGAAAGGGGACAGGGAAAUCAACUCAGAAGCCAUUGCAUUAUAAGAGUUGUCUCAUCCACAGAGAUGUCAAGGAUUUUAUGGUUCCAGGGUGGUGACUUCAGUGAAGGAAAUGGAGGAAGGGGGAAUCUAUUUAUGGAGGAUGUUUUAAAGAUGAAAGUUUUGCUGUUAAACACAACAAUGAAUUUCUCUUGUCAAUGGCCAACAGAGGGAAGGAUACAAAUGGUUCACAAUUCUUCAUAACAACAAAACCAAUUCCUCAUCUACACGGGCAUCAUGUUGUUUUUGGGCAAAUGAUCUCUGGCCAAAAAGUUGUAAGAGAGAGAGAAAUCCAGAAAACAGAUGACAGCUAGCAAACUAUUUGCUGAAGUACAGAUGCUGAGUUGUGGAGAACAAAUUCCCAAAUGUAAAGUUAAGAAAGAAGAAAAGAAAGGCAUAAGUCAUCAUCAUCUUCCUCAUUGUCAGCCAGUGAUUCAGAUAGCUCAAAAGAUUCUCAGUCCUCUGCUGAUGCUUCUGACUCUGAAAGUGCUUCUGAAGAGAAGUCAAAAAAAA
rnacentral:lncRNA from 1 species